AUUUACGAGUUUAGGAAAAUGUAUGCAGUUCACACGUGAGUGAGAGCGAGAUGGCAUUGCAGCAAAUAUACCAAUAAGAGUAAGGAGCAAAGAUAACUGCUGGAUCAACACGAACGAUUGAAAGAAGAAGAGUCAACAGUAUAAAUAGAGCAACACUUCGCAGCUGAGCUUCAGUUGAAGCUGCAGAGUGGCCCGGCUAAGGGUAUUUACGUGUUUAAGAAAAUGUAUGCAGUUCACUCGUGAGUGAGAGCGAGAUGGCAUGGCUGCAAAUAUACCAAUAAUAAGAGUAAAGAGCAAAGAUAACUGCUGGAUCAACACGUACGAUUGAAAGAAGAAGAGUCAACAGUAUAAAUAGAGCAACACUUCGCAGCUGAGCUUCAGUUGAAGUUGCAGAGUGGCCCAGCUAAGGGUAUUUACGUGUUUAAGAAAAUGUAUGCAGUUCACACGUGAGAGGAAGCGAGAUGGCAUUGUAGCAAAUAUAUCAAUAAGAAGAGUAAGGAGCAAAGAUAACUGCUGGAUCAACACGAACGAUUGAAAGAAGAAGAGUCAACAGUAUAAAUAGAGCAACACUUCGCAGCUGAGCUUCAGUUGAAGCUGCAGAGUGGCCCAGCUAAGGGUAUUUACGUGUUUAAGAAAAUGUAUGCAGUUCAAACGUGAGUGAGAGCGAGAUGGCAUUGCUGCAAAUAUACCAAUAAUAAGAGUAAAGAGCAAAGAUAACUGCUGGAUCAACACGUACGAUUGAAAGAAGAAGAGUCAACAGUAUAAAUAGAGCAACAGUUGCAGUUGGGCUUCAGUAUAAGCUGAAAGGUGGCUCGAAAAGGGACUUGCGAAUUAAUAUGCAUUUACGCGCAUAAAAUAAUGUUAGCAGAUCACAAAUGAGAGAGAGGGAGAUGGAAUUCAGCAACUACUAUACCUAUAAGAAGAGUGCGGAGCGAAGAUAACUGCUGGAGUAAACGGUAUAAAUAGAGCAGCACUGCAGUCGGGCUUCAGUUGAAGCUGCAAGGUGGCCCCAGCUAAGGGCUGCUUAUUAAUAUGCAUUUACGUGUUUAAAAGAAUGUUAGCAGAUCACAUAUGAGAGAAAGCGAGAUGGCACUGGAGCAACAAUACUAACAAGAAGAGUAAAGAGUAACGACAACUGCUGGACCAACAAGUGCAUGUGUUAUGAAAAUGGCAAAUUGAUCACAUCGUAAACAAGUUAGUUUAUGGGAAGGUCUCAGGAAUGUGACUAUAUAAAUGUUCGUCUCUCGCCUUCUGUUAGAUGAAGAAAAUAAUAGUGCGAGUGAAUUAACGGAUAUAAGAGAAGAAUAGUGCUCGGAAGUCUUGAGCCCAGAGAAGAUAUCUUGGAAAAUCAGAUCUGAAGCAUAUACUGAGGGAUAGACCAAUGCAAAGUAUCAAAACGAUAGCUUUAAAGACAAGAGACAAAUUGUCGGAGGAACUGAGAGGCGGACACAUUCCCUAAAGAAAUUGUAUCUUCUAAAAGGCACUGACAAAUUAAGGACUACAAUGAGCUAUAAGGACCUCCACGACUGAGCAAGCAAAUUUUUCCAGAAUUCACCUUUAAUUAAGCCUGAUAUACUUAUUUUAAGUUUAAAUAAGCUCAAAUUAUAAUUUAAG